GGAUGUCUGGUCGUACAGGAAAGGGCAGGGGCGACUCCCCACUCUUCAAAACCCUAGAACUUCACUAAUCUUGCAAAUUGAAGGUCCAAUUCAGUCCAAAAUCGAAAUUUAAGCAUGGAUUAUUGAUCCUCAUCACAAGAGGAUUAAAAGUUUGAUCUCGUCAAGCUAAGUGGGAGCUGGAAAGGAAUGGAUCAAACGGAUCAUGGAUGCGAAGAAUGUUUGCGCGGACGCGAGGGUAAAACGGCUUAUGGAAUUUACGUGGCUAUGAAUCAGCAAAUUAUUAAGGCAAGGUAUUAAAACGGGUCAAUACUUUGACCCACGCCAGGUACGCGUAAAUUUGGUGAAAGAUAUGUGAAUACCUUAAUGUAGAAAAAUGACAUGUGAAAGUAGAGAGUAGGAUUUAAACUUAAAUGAUUAAAUCCUCUCUAACGGGUCAAAAUAAGAACUUGAACGUAAAUGGGUUCUAACUAAGUAAGAAACCCAUGAUUUAUGAUUUAUUUGAUAGGAAAUAUUGAAAUUAUGAUUUUCAUGAGUUUAUAGAGCAAGUAAACAUGUUUGUUUGAUAAAAUCGCGAACGGGUUAAAAUUUGGUAAAAAUGGUAAUAAGCCGAAGACUUAAAAGUCUUAAAUUUUGUUAAUUCGGAUGUUGGAUUUUGACUCCAUACUAUGAAGGGUCAAAUUACAAUCAUGUAGGAAGAAACGGUGGGUCAAACGGAUAAGCGGUUUGAAAGAUACGAAAGUUUUCGUGCCAAUAAACGGCAAAAUAGGAAAGCUGGAAUGCAGGGGCCACCGUAACUUACGGUGACAGGAGUUGAAGGCUUUACGGCAGCCCCCUACUGAUUUACGGUUCAUUUUGGAUGCCGAGAGACGAUCAAGCUCAUCGAAGAACCGAACACGAUAUAGUUACAUGCUUCCGCACUUUGCCACGUUGUAUAUUUUAAACAACGAAUUCGAUCACGUUUUGUAGAAUAACUUAUGAAUUGUAAAAGUUUUAAUU
rnacentral:lncRNA from 1 species